GAAAAUUGGUCUAAUACCGUAUGAGGUCAUACGAUGGCAUCAGAAUAUGACGAAAGGUUUAGCGGUGAAGGAUGGGGAUGCGUCUGAUUAGCUUGUUGGUGAGGUAACGGCUCACCAAGGCGACGAUCAGUAGGGGUUCUGAGAGGAAGGUCCCCCACAUUGGAACUGAGACACGGUCCAAACUCCUACGGGAGGCAGCAGUGAGGAAUAUUGGUCAAUGGGCGAGAGCCUGAACCAGCCAAGUAGCGUGCAGGACGACGGCCCUAUGGGUUGUAAACUGCUUUUAUAUGGGGAUAAAGUGAGUUACGUGUAGCUUAUUGCAGGUACCAUAUGAAUAAGGACCGGCUAAUCCCGUGCCAGCAGCCGCGGUAAUACGGAAGGUCCAGGCGUUAUCCGGAUUUAUUGGGUUUAAAGGGAGCGUAGGCCGCCCCUUAAGCGUGUUGUGAAAUGCCGCGGCUCAACCGUGGCACUGCAGCGCGAACUGGGGGGCUUGAGUGCACGCAACGCAGGCGGAAUUCGUGGUGUAGCGGUGAAAUGCUUAGAUAUCACGAAGAACUCCGAUUGCGAAGGCAGCUUGCGGGAGUGCGACUGACGCUGAAGCUCGAAGGUGCGGGUAUCGAACAGGAUUAGAUACCCUGGUAGUCCGCACAGUA
rnacentral:rRNA from 1 species